rnacentral:tRNA from 3 species
GGAAGAUUGGCAGAGUGGUCGAUUGCGGCAGUCUUGAAAACUGUUGACUGUAACAGGUCCGGGGGUUCGAAUCCCUCAUCUUCCGCCA